AUGCCAACUAGAGAAGACAUGUCACACAUAGGUUGUACUUGUCGAAUAGGUGACAUUUACCUGGAAAUAUUGUUUGAAUCUAAUCCACCCAAACUCAAAGUCUUCAAGUUAAUGAAUUUAGACGUUGCUUUCUUUCUAGUAGGAAAAGAUAUGCUGACAUUAGUUUCAGGUGCAGGCCGCCUAAACGAGGCAGAAGACUGGUCUCGCUUCGGGGCACACUGCAGACGCAUAGGUUGCAGCCGGGAUUACUAUUACACAGUCAAGGUGACCGGGAAGGAAUCUAUGGAGAAGUUCAUAUGCCCUCACAAGGAAGCUGCACCACACCUCACUGAAGAUUAUGCGGCAGCCUGGAAAGGUGAAGUGCCGACUAGAUUCAGAUUUGCCUGA
rnacentral:rRNA from 1 species